GGGGGGGGGGGGGGGGGGGGGGGGGGGGGGGGGGGCGGGCGGGGGGGGGGGGCGGGGGCGUGGAUUCGGCGGGGGACGGGUGAGGAGGGCCUAGGAAUCGGCCGGGUAGUGGGGGAUAACGUCCGGAAACGGGCGCUAAUACCGCAUACGGGCUGGGGGAGAAAGGGGGGGAUCUUCGGACCUCACGCUAUCGGAGGAGCCUAGGUCGGAUUAGAUAGUUGGUGGGGUAAAGGCCUACCAAGGCGACGAUCCGUAACUGGUCUGAGAGGAUGAUCAGUCACACUGGAACUGAGACACGGUCCAGACUCCUACGGGAGGCAGCAGUGGGGAAUAUUGGACAAUGGGCGAAAGCCUGAUCCAGCCAUGCCGCGUGUGUGAAGAAGGUCUUCGGAUUGUAAAGCACUUUAAGUUGGGAGGAAGGGCAGUAAGUUAAUACCUUGCUGUUUUGACGUUACCAACAGAAUAAGCACCGGCUAACUUCGUG
rnacentral:rRNA from 1 species